rnacentral:rRNA from 1 species
GACGAACGCUGGCGGCGUGCUUAACACAUGCAAGUCGAACGAUGAACCGGAGCUUGCUCUGGGGAUUAGUGGCGAACGGGUGAGUAACACGUGGGCAACCUGCCCCUAGCUCUGGGAUAACUGCGGGAAACUGUAGCUAAUACCGGAUAUGACACGGGACUGCAUGGUCAUCGUGUGGAAAGAAUUUCGGCUAGGGAUGGGCCCGCGGUCUAUCAGCUUGUUGGUGGGGUAAUGGCUCACCAAGGCGACGACGGAUAACCGGCCUGAGAGGGCGACCGGUCACACUGGGACUGAGACACGGCCCAGACUCCUACGGGAGGCAGCAGUGGGGAAUAUUGCACAAUGGGCGCAAGCCUGAUGCAGCGACGCCGCGUGAGGGAUGACGGCCUUCGGGUUGUAAACCUCUUUCAGUAGGGACGAAGCGAAAGUGACGGUACCUGCAGAAGAAGCGCCGGCCAACUACGUGCCAGCAGCCGCCGUAACAC